UUACUACUCAUCCCGCAUAAAAGCAAGAAGGUUAAAGGAGCUUGUGUUUUUGCAAAAUAUCCGGAACCAAAAUGAACAAGCUAUCAGCUUGCAGUUCUAUGGCCUGUGGAAUUUCUUUGCAGCCUAAGAUGGUCCUGGCGAGUUUGAGAGUACGUAAGCAGGGAAACGGUCGUUGCACAAAUGUACCCCGUAAUGUAAACUUGGAAAAGCUGCAAAAUAACUAUUUGUUUCCUGAGAUUUCAAAGCGGGAGCUGCAGCACCUGGAAAAGUACCCAAAUGCAAAAGUGAUUAGCCUUGGAAUUGGUGAUACCACAGAGCCAAUUCCCGAGCAAAUCAGCCUUAGCAUGGCUAAUUAUGCACGUGCCCUUUCAACUGCUGACGGUUAUAGGGGCUAUGGAGCUGAGCAAGGGAAUCAGGCAUUGAGGAAAGCAAUUGCCGAAACAUUUUACAAGGAUGUCGCCAUAAAGGACACAGAAGUUUUUGUAUCAGAUGGUUCUCAGUGUGAUAUUUCCCGCCUUCAGCUGCUUUUAGGUUCAAAAGUGACAAUAGCCGUGCAGGAUCCAUCUUUUCCGGGUUAUAUAGAUUCAAGUGUCAUAAUCGGCCAGGCUGGUGAUUUUCAAGACAAAACUGGGAAGUAUCAAAACAUUGAGUACAUGCAGCUUGGCCCUCAGAAUAAUUUCUUCCCUGAUUUAACGGUCACUCCAAGAACGGAUAUCAUCUUCUUUUGUUCACCAAAUAAUCCUACAGGUCAUGCAGCUACAAGGAAGCAAUUACAGCAGCUUGUAGAGUUUGCAAGGGAUAAUGGAUCAAUUAUUAUUUUUGACUCCGCUUAUGCAGCCUAUAUCUCUGAUGACAGUCCUAAAUCAAUCUUUGAAAUUCCUGGUGCCAAAGAGGUUGCAAUUGAAAUUUCAUCAUUCUCCAAAUUUGCUGGGUUCACUGGAGUUCGUCUUGGUUGGACGGUAGUGCCUGAAGAACUCUUGUUUUCAGGUGGGUUUCCUGUCAUACAUGAUUUCAACCGCAUUGUAUGCACCUGCUUCAAUGGAGCAUCCAAUAUAGCUCAGGCUGGUGGACUAGCAUGCCUUUCUCCAGAAGGUUUCCAGGCUAUCUGUGCAGUGAUCGACUACUACAAGGAGAAUGCAAAGAUAUUGGUAGAUACGUUUGCCUCUCUUGGCUUAGAAGUUUAUGGCGGUGUCAACGCCCCGUAUGUUUGGGUGCAUUUUCCUGGUUCAAAAUCAUGGAAUAUAUUUGCAGAAAUUCUUGAAAAGACUCAUAUAAUAACGGUACCAGGAUCUGGUUUUGGCCCUGGUGGUGGAGAGUAUAUCAGAAUCAGUGCUUUUGGGAAAAGAAAGCACAUCAUAGAAGCAUCAUGGAGGCUGGAAAAACUUUUCUCCAAGGGAAAACCCCUUUUUAACUGUCUAAAAUAAAAUUUAAAAAAUAUGGUGUGUUUCACCGGCCAUGCCAUCUCAUGGUAUAAUCAUUGUGUAAAAUAAUAAAAUUACCAGUGCCAUGAAUCCUAUUUGUAACUUAAGCUAUUCUACAGGAAUUACAAUAUCCAUUAUCUGGUGGUUCUUUUCAA